rnacentral:rRNA from 1 species
AGUGAACGCUGGCGGUAGGCCUAACACAUGCAAGUCGAACGGCAGCACAGUAAGAGCUUGCUCUUACGGGUGGCGAGUGGCGGACGGGUGAGGAAUACAUCGGAAUCUACUUUUUCGUGGGGGAUAACGUAGGGAAACUUACGCUAAUACCGCAUACGACCUACGGGUGAAAGCAGGGGAUCUUCGGACCUUGCGCGAUUGAAUGAGCCGAUGUCGGAUUAGCUAGUUGGCGGGGUAAAGGCCCACCAAGGCGACGAUCCGUAGCUGGUCUGAGAGGAUGAGCAGCCACACUGGAAAUGAGACACGGUCCAGACUCCUACGGGAGGCAGCAGUGGGGAAUAUUGGACAAUGGGCGCAAGCCUGAUCCAGCCAUACCGCGUGGGUGAAGAAGGCCUUCGGGUUGUAAAGCCCUUUUGUUGGGAAAGAAAAGCAGCAGGUUAAUACCCCGCUGUUCUGACGGUACCCAAAGAAUAAGCACAGGCUAACUUCGUG